AUUGAACGCUGGCGGCAUGCUUUACACAUGCAAGUCGAACGGAAACAGGCCUUCGGGUGCUGUCGAGUGGCGAACGCGUGCGUAAUGCAUCGGCACGUAUCCCGAGCCUGGGGGUAACGCAUCGAAAGGUGUGCUCAUACCGCAUGUGGUCUGAUGUUGAAAGCGGCGGGCCGCGCAGCAAUAUUUCGCCUCGCCCCUUUCGAGUAGACGAUGCCGGAUUAGCUAGUUGGUGGGGUAAAGGCCUACCAAGGCAACGCUCCGUAGCUGGUCUGAGAGGACGACCAGCCACACUGGGACUGAGACACGGCCCAGACUCCUACGGGAGGCAGCAGUGGGGAAUUUUGGACAAUGGGCGCAAGCCUGAUGCAGCAAUGCCGCGUGCGGGAAGAAGGCCUUCGGGUUGUAAACCGCUGUUGGCAGGAACGAAACGGUGUCCGCGAAUACCGGGCGCUAAUGACGGUACCUGAAGAAUAAGCACCGGCUAACUACGUG
rnacentral:rRNA from 1 species